GGGCAUGCAUAANUGCAGUCGAGCGAGCUUGCCUAGAUGAUUUUAGUGCUUGCACUAAAUGAAACUAGAUACAAGCGAGCGGCGGACGGGUGAGUAACACGUGGGUAACCUGCCCGAGAGACUGGGAUAACACCUGGAAACAGAUGCUAAUACCGGAUAACAACACUAGACGCAUGUCUAGAGUUUGAAAGAUGGUUCUGCUAUCACUCUUGGAUGGACCUGCGGUGCAUUAGCUAGUUGGUAAGGUAACGGCUUACCAAGGCAAUGAUGCAUAGCCGAGUUGAGAGACUGAUCGGCCACAUUGGGACUGAGACACGGCCCAAACUCCUACGGGAGGCAGCAGUAGGGAAUCUUCCACAAUGGACGAAAGUCUGAUGGAGCAACGCCGCGUGAGUGAAGAAGGGUUUCGGCUCGUAAAGCUCUGUUGGUAGUGAAGAAAGAUAGAGGUAGUAACUGGCCUUUAUUUGACGGUAAUUACUUAGAAAGUCACGGCUAACUACGUGCCAGCAGCCGCGGUAAUACGUAGGUGGCAAGCGUUGUCCGGAUUUAUUGGGCGUAAAGCGAGUGCAGGCGGUUCAAUAAGUCUGAUGUGAAAGCCUUCGGCUCAACCGGAGAAUUGCAUCAGAAACUGUUGAACUUGAGUGCAGAAGAGGAGAGUGGAACUCCAUGUGUAGCGGUGGAAUGCGUAGAUAUAUGGAAGAACACCAGUGGCGAAGGCGGCUCUCUGUCUGCAACUGACGCUGAAGCUCG
rnacentral:rRNA from 1 species